GAUGAACGCUGGCGGCGUGCCUAAUACAUGCAAGUCGAGCGAACAGACGAUGAGCUUGCGCCGCGCACGUGAGCGGCGGACGUGAGAGUAACACGUGUAUAACCCACCUAUAAUACGGGUAUAACCUCGGGAAACCGGAUCAAAUACCGGAGAAGAUCCUGAAGCGCAGUGUGCAAUAGAGAGAUACGGCUGUGCGGGCUCUUAUAGCUGGAUCUCCGCCGCAUUGGAUGGUUGGUACGUUAACAGCUUACCAAGGCAACGAUGCGUAGCCGAGCGGAGGGAGUGAUAGGCCACACUGGAACUGAGACAGCGUCCAGAGUCCUACGGGACGCAGCAGUCGGGAAUCUUACGCAAUAGUCGAAAGCCUGACGGAGCAACGCCGCGUGAGUGAUGACGGUCUUCCGAUCGUAAAGCUCUGUUAUUAGGGAAGAACCACUGUGUACGUAACUAUGCCCGUCUUGACGGUACCUAAUCAGAAAGCCACGGCUAACUACGUG
rnacentral:rRNA from 1 species